rnacentral:tRNA from 1 species
AGUUCAGUAGUAGAAUUCUUGCCUUCCAAGCAGGAGGCCCAGGUUUAAUUUCUGG